GGCAGAUGUGAAGGAGGCUGCGCCAUAGGCAUCCCCUCGAAAUGCCCGGUUGAAUUGGAGACCUUGCAGGGCUUGGAUUGUGCAUCGAGCACUGAAGAGCUUGGAUUGUGCUUCAAAUACUGAAGUUGUUGUGGCACUGGAACACCAAGGAGUUUGUAAGUGAAAGGAGCUGCCAGCAAAGGGCUAAUCUUCUACAAGUGGUGACUCAUAUUUUUGUUUUUUGUAUGCUCAAUGAUUCUUUGGCACUUCUUACUUUGGCAUUUAAUUAACUACCAUACAUUUGAUUUGUGGUGAUAUUUGGCUGAUUCUGUUUAUUUGCUUUCUCGGGAAACAGAGGAAGAGGAAGAAAAAGUAAAAAUGGGCAUCCAACAUUCAAAAACUUUUAUGCUCUUAUUCUCUGUUUUAGAAACACUUGCUUUGGUCUCUAUCAAAAGCAAUCAAUUCCUCAAUUGUUGUUAGGGUCACCCUAAAUUGUGUAAUGAUCUGUUGUUAAUAUUUGCUUUUUUAUUAAUUUUUUGUCUUCAUGUGUUUU